AUGGCCUUGCACCCCUAUGGCCAAAGAUAUUCCAUCAAUUCCCUGAAAUUGCUGAAUCUCCUUAACUUUCCUGAUAUAAUUGGCUGGGCUGGCAACCUUUUCUCCCCUGUACGCAAUGGUGUUAUACUCAUUCAUAAACAUCACAGUGUUCGGAUCAAGAUGCUGCUUCUAGUAAUUUGUCAGGGACUUAACCCAUUCAGGCUGAAAAAUUUUCAUCGACCCACAAAAUGGUAUGACCUCUAA